UACGGGGGGGGCAAGCGUUGCUCGGAAUUACUGGGCGUAAAGGGCUCGUAGGCGGCCAACUAAGUCGGACGUGAAAUCCCUCAGCUUAACUGGGGAACUGCGUCCGAUACUGGAUGGCUUGGAUUUGGGAGAGGGAUGCGGAAUUCCAGGUGUAGCGGUGAAAUGCGUAGAUAUCUGGAGGAACACCGGUGGCGAAGGCGGCAUCCUGGACCAAUAUUGACGCUGAGGAGCGAAAGCCAGGGGAGCAAACGGG
rnacentral:rRNA from 1 species